rnacentral:rRNA from 1 species
CUCAAAGAUUAAGCCAUGCAUGUCUAAGCACAUGCCUUAAUACGGUGAAGCCGCGAAUAGCUCAUUACAACAGCCAUCGUUUAUUAGAAUAUCGUUAUCCUACUUGGAUAACUGUGGCAAUUCUAGAGCUAAUACAUGCAAUAAAGCUCCGCCCGCAAGGAACGAGCGCAUUUAUUAGAAUAAAAACCAAUCGAGCUUCGGCUCGUAAUUUGGUGAAUCUGAAUAACUUUGCCAAUCGCACAGUCCUAGUACUGGCGAUGUAUCUUUCAAGUGUCUGCCUUAUCAACUUUCGAUGGUACGCUAUACGCCUACCAUGGUAGUAACGGGUAACGGAGAAUAAGGGUUCGACUCCGGAGAGGGAGCCUGAGGAACGGCUACCACAUCCAAGGAAGGCAGCAGGCGCGCAAAUUACCCACUUCCAGAACGGAGAGGUAGUGACGAAAAAUAACGAGACAGUCCUCUUCGAGGUCUGUCAUCGGAAUGGGUACAAUUUAAAUCCUUUAACGAGGAUCUAUUGGAGGGCAAGUCUGGUGCCAGCAGCCGCGGUAAUUCCAGCUCCAAUAGCGUAUAUUAAAGUUGUUGCGGUUAAAACGCUCGUAGUUGGAUCUGCGGCCUCGAAGAACGGUCCCCCGAAAGGGUGGUAACUGUUUCUUCUAGCCUAAAGUCGAGUUGUCUCUAAGUGCCCUUUAUUGAGUGCUUAGAGCGACUAGAACGUUUACUUUGAAAAAAUUAGAGUGCUUAAAGCAGGCGAAAUAGUCUGGAUAAGGUGCAUGGAAUAAUGGAAUAGGAUCUCGGUUCUAUUUUGUUGGUUUUCGGAGCCCGAGAUAAUGAUUAAGAGGAACAGACGGGGGCGUUCGUAUUUCGGCGCUAGAGGUGUAAUUCUUGGACCGCCGAAAGACGAACGACUGCGAAAGCAUUUGCCAAGAAUGYUUUCAUUAAUCAAGAACGAAAGUURGAGGUUCGAAGGCGAUCAGAUACCGCCCUAGUUCUAACCGUAAACGAUGACAACCAGCGAUUAAUCGGCGUUAAUAUACGACCCGAUUAGCAGCUUCCGGGAAACCAAAGUUUUUCGUUUCCGGGGGAAGUAUGGUUGCAAAGCUGAAACUUAAAGGAAUUGACGGAAGGGCACCACCAGGAGUGGAGCCUGCGGCUUAAUUUGACUCAACACGGGAAAACUCACCCGGCCCGGACACUGUAAGGAUUGACAGACUGAGAGCUCUUUCUUAAUUCAGUGGGUGGUGGUGCAUGGCCGUUCUUAGUUGGUGGAGCGAUUUGUCUGGUUAAUUCCGAUAACGAACGAGACUCUGGCCUAUUAAAUAGACGAGAUAUCUUUAAGUAUCUCGCGCUUCUUAGAGGGACAAGCGGCGUCUAGUCGCAUGAAAAAGAGCAAUAACAGGUCUGUGAUGCCCUUAGAUGUCCGGGGCUGCACGCGCGCUACACUGAAAGAAUCAGUGGGCGUUUUACCUGGUUCGGAAGAACCGGGUAACCCAAGUAAUUUCUUUCGUGCUUGGGAUAGGGAAUUGCAAUUAUUUCCCUUAAACGAGGAAUUCCCAGUAAACGCGGGUCAUAAGCUCGUGUUGAUUACGUCCCUGCCCUUUGUACACACCGCCCGUCGCUACUACCGAUUGGAUGACUUAGUGAGGUCUUAGGACCGAGGUAGGGGCGCUUUAACGAGCGCUUUUGCUUUGGAAAUUUGAUCGAACUACGUUAUCUAGAGGAAGU